rnacentral:lncRNA from 1 species
AUACGUGCCUUACCGUAUCCUUCGAUCAGGUUGGAUGGGCCUGAGAGGGUUGUCAGAGGUGCAUUCUUAGGUAUGAAGUUAGUGAAAUAGAUGCGUUCACGCAAAACAGUAUGCGUGGUUGCACUAUCUGCCAGACAACUAACUUUCCCACUAGUCAUACCUAGAAUGAAAAAUUAAUUUGAAUCGGUCACAUGCAUAAAAGUUUAUAAAAACAAGUAUCAAUUCAAACUAAUUUCAUUUUUUCAAGGAUUAAAAACUUAAUAUCCAAAAUAAAUCGCCAACUAAUAAUCCAAAACAUAAAGGAAAAUUGUUCAAAAUCAACCAAAAACAAGGUGGGGUUCGGCCACUAGGUGGAAUUCGGCCCCAAUUGUAUUAUUUCAACUGAAAAAUAAGUCUAUGUCUAAGAUUCUAAUCUUCCAUAGGAGUGGUAUCCUCCUGAAAGUCAGAAACCUCCAUCUUUGUAGUCUCCGGUUCGUCCACUUGCAGGAAGUUUGAUUCAAACUUCGUACGACGAGAAUGAUAUGCAUCCACAACCUUCUUGGGAGCACGGCAAAUACGGGACCAAUGGUCCUUGGAACCACAACGAUAACACAUAUCGUCAUUCAUUGUGGCAGGUGCUUUGCCCUUAUUCUUGAAGUUUGGGGCGUUGGGAGCGAGGUUUGGGCGCUUCUGGGCUUUGUUUCC